rnacentral:rRNA from 1 species
AUGAACGCUGGCGGCGUGCCUAAUACAUGCAAGUCGAGCGAACGGACGAGAAGCUUGCUUCUCUGAUGUUAGCGGCGGACGGGUGAGUAACACGUGGAUAACCUACCUAUAAGACUGGGAUAACUUCGGGAAACCGGAGCUAAUACCGGAUAAUAUUUUGAACCGCAUGGUUCAAAAGUGAAAGACGGUCUUGCUGUCACUUAUAGAUGGAUCCGCGCUGCAUUAGCUAGUUGGUAAGGUAACGGCUUACCAAGGCAACGAUGCAUAGCCGACCUGAGAGGGUGAUCGGCCACACUGGAACUGAGACACGGUCCAGACUCCUACAGGAGGCAGCAGUAGGGAAUCUUGCGCAAUGGGCGAAAGCCUGACGGAGCAACGCCGCGUGAGUGAUGAAGGUCUUCGGAUCGUAAAACUCUGUUAUUAGGGAAGAACAUAUGUGUAAGUAACUGUGCACAUCUUGACGGUACCUAAUCAGAAAGCCACGGCUAACUACGUG